rnacentral:snoRNA from 1 species
AGCACUUGUAUCUGCUUUUAUCUAAUUUAUGGACUUCAGUCAAGUGCAAAAAUAAAUCCUCUUUUGCAACCCAGAAUUCAUUGUCCAGUAUAAGUUUCGAUGCAUGCAGAAGGAAUUGA